UCCGAGUUGACCCCGGCAGUCUCCCAUGAGUCCCCGCCAUUACGCGCUGGCAACAUGGAACGAGGGUUGCGCUCGUUGCGGGACUUAACCCAACAUCUCACGACACGAGCUGACGACAACCAUGCACCACCUGUGCUAGCUCCCCGAAGGGUCCCUCACCUUUCGGUUCGGUACCACUAGCAUGUCAAGCCCUGGUAAGGUUCUUCGCGUAGCGACGAAUUAAACCGCACGCUCCGCUGCUUGUGCGGGCCCCCGUCAAUUCCUUUGAGUUUUAGCCUUGCGGCCGUACUCCCCAGGCGGGACACUUAUUGCGUUAGCUGCGGCACCGAGGGGGUCGAUACCCCCGACACCUAGUACUCAUCGUUUACAGCGUGGACUAC
rnacentral:misc_RNA from 1 species